AUUGAACGCUGGCGGCAGGCCUAACACAUGCACGUCGAACGAGUGGGGAAGGGUGAGUUAUGUCUGGGAAACUGCCUGAUUGAGGGGGAUAACUACCGGAAAAGGUAGAUAAUACCGAAUAACAUCAGUAGUGACCAGAUGGGAGUAGCGUGUUGGUGGGGUAACGGCUCACCAAGGCGACGAUCCCUAGCUGGUCUGAGGGGAUACCCAGCCACACUGGAACUGAGACACGGUCCAGACUCCUACGGGAGGCAGCAGUGGGGAAUAUUGAACAAUGGGCGCAAGCCUGAUGCAGCCAUGCCGCGUGUAUGAAGAAGGCCUUCGGGUUGUAAAGUACUUUCAGCGGGGAGGCGUUACCCGCAGAAGAAGCACCGGCUAACUCCGUGCCAGCAGCCGCGGUUAUAC
rnacentral:rRNA from 1 species